rnacentral:piRNA from 1 species
UCAUAACAACUUGAUGAGGUGGAUGA